rnacentral:rRNA from 1 species
UACGUAGGGUGCAAGCGUUGUCCGGAAUUAUUGGGCGUAAAGAGCUCGUAGGCGGUUUGUUGCGUCGGCUGUGAAAUCCCGAGGCUCAACCUCGGGUCUGCAGUCGAUACGAGCAAACUAGAGUGUUGCAGGGGAGACUGGAAUUCCUGGUGUAGCGGUGAAAUGCGCAGAUAUCAGGAGGAACACCGGUGGCGAAAGCGGGUCUCUGGGCAACAACUGACGCUGAGGAGCGAAAGCGUGGGGAGCGAGCAGG